rnacentral:rRNA from 1 species
ACGGGAGGCAGCAGUGGGGAAUAUUGGGCAAUGGGCGCAAGCCUGACCCAGCAACGCCGCGUGAGGGAAGAAGGCCUCGGGUUGUAAACUUCUUUUAUCAAGGACGAUAAUGACGGUACUUGAUGAAUAAGCCACGGCUAACUACGUGCCAGCAGCCGCGGUAAUACGUAGGUGGCAAGCGUUAUCCGGAUUUACUGGGUGUAAAGGGCGUGUAGGCGGGAUCGCAAGUCAGAUGUGAAAAUUAUGGGCUCAACCCAUAACCUGCAUUUGAAACUGUGAUUCUUGAGUGAUGGAGAGGUAAGUGGAAUUCCCAGUGUAGCGGUGAAAUGCGUAGAUAUUGGGAGGAACACCAGUGGCGAAGGCGACUUACUGGACAUUAACUGACGCUGAGGCGCGAAAGCGUGGGGAGCAAACAGGAUUAGAUACCCUGGUA